rnacentral:lncRNA from 1 species
AAGGAUGAAGGAUUGUGGGCAAAGAUUUAUGAGGCUAAAUACCUUAAAGGCCAUUCUAUUCUUGAUGAUUCUGUGAUUUUUAGGCAGGAUUGUUCUUCUACAUGGAGAGGUGUGCUACAUGGGGCUGCUUUUCUAAGGAAGGGUAUGUUAUGGAGAAUUGGGGAUGGUGGUACUGUUAGUUUUUGGAAGGAUAAUUGGGUUUUUGAUGCUCCUUUAAACCAAAAUGAUAGUUGUGUGCAUAUUUGUGACCCAGAUUCUGUUAUUUCCAGUUUUUACAAAAAUGGUUGGUGGGAUAUGGAGAAACUAAGGGCUGCUUUACCUAAUGAUCUGGUCCAACGAGUUAUUAGCUAUCCUGUGGGGUUUAAUAGUGGGAUUCAGGAUGCUCAAAUUUGGAAGUUUUCUCCCAAUGGGAUUUUCUCUGUAAAAUCUGCUUAUAAUAUGCUUUUUGAGGGUUGCUCUGAUGUUGAUUGGAAGUUUUUGUGGAAGCUUAAGAUUCCUCCCAAGUUGCAUAUUUUCUUUUGGCUUGUUUUUCAAAGAAAAAUUCUUUCUAAUGAGCAAAGAGCUAGAAGACAGCUGUCUUUGGAUGCUUCUUGUGGUUCUUGUCAUUGGCCUGUGGAGUCUAUUCUUCAUAUUCUUCGUGAUUGUGUUAAGGCUAGGAAGGUAUGGAAUGCUCUUCUUAAUUCUAGUCAAAGUGUUGGAUUUUUUACUAUGGACUUUCAGCCUUGGCUUAAAGUAAACUUGAUGUCGAAGAUUGUUUGGGCUGAUGGUAUUCCCUGGAAUUUGAUCUUUGUUUUCACAUGUUGGUACAUAUGGAAAUGGAGGAAUUUCUAUGUGUUUCAUGGUGAUGAAGAGUUGGCUUUUGACUCCAUACAGAUUAUUACUGCUGCUGUGAAGGAAUGGUUUAAAG